UUAAUGAUUGAUAUCAACUCAGACAUCCAGUUUCACAGAAGUUCAGUGUAUCUUUGGCGGGCGCUAUCCAGAGAAACUCCGGCAGCCAGAGGCGGGCCCGCCAAAGCAACAUGUGGUGUAGUAGUCACGGGUGGGGUUUCACCUACGCCGGGGGCGCAGGCUCAACGCUUUAAUGAUCCUUCCGCAGGUUCACCUACGGAAA
rnacentral:misc_RNA from 1 species